UGUCCCCUGCGGGGCGCGUGAUGCCCAGCAGAAAUUCGAACCGAUACGUCCACUACGGGGUCCGUUUCGGGUUCCAUGUGCAAGCCCUCCCCCUCACGGGGAGAGGGAAGCCUACGGAGCCAUUCUCGGGUCCCACCUGGUUUCUACUGGGUUCAAUGGACGCUUGGCACACGGCCAUACGGCGGGGGACUU
rnacentral:other from 1 species